GUAGGGUGCAAGCGUUAAUCGGAAUUACUGGGCGUAAAGCGUGCGCAGGCGGUUUUGUAAGUCUGACGUGAAAUCCCCGGGCUUAACCUGGGAAUUGCGUUGGAGACUGCAAGGCUGGAGUCUGGCAGAGGGGGUAGAAUUCCACGUGUAGCAGUGAAAUGCGUAGAGAUGUGGAGGAACACCGAUGGCGAAGGCGGCCCCCUGGGUCAAGACUGACGCUCAUGCACGAAAGCGUGGGGAGCAAACAGGGAUUAGAUACCCUGGUAGUCCACGCCCUAAACGAUGUCUACUAGUUGUCGGGUCUUAAUUGACUUGGUAACGCAGCUAACGCGUGAAGUAGACCGCCUGGGGAGUACGGUCGCAAGAUUA
rnacentral:rRNA from 1 species